CUUGCGCGGACCGGGCUGCCCACCCCAGGCUGGAGAGAGAUGGUCGGGGAGUGCGAGCGCUGGCGGCCGAAGGCUGGAGCCGUCCCCGGCUGCUGAGGCCGGCCCUGACGCCGAGAGGGUUUCUUUGUGUAGCUAACUUUGUCAGUCCAGGAACUGCCUCCUCUGGCCUCGAACUCGGAGAUCCGCUUGCCUCCGCCGCCCGAGUGCUGGAACUAAAGGAGUGCUUCGCCACUGCCGGGCUGACAGGGUUGUUUUUAGUCGGAGGUAGUAUCUUUCACAGGAGUCCCGGCUGACCUCGAACUCGGAGGUCCCCCGAGUUUUCAGGUAUGCAACGCCAUACCUAGCUUCCAUCAUUUUGUUCUGUGUAUGUCUGUGCGGAGCAUUUGGCCCUCUCCCUCAUCUUGCAGGUUAUUUUGAAAAUGUUUACUUCUGUCUGGCUGUGCCAUUGUUAAGGGGCUCUGCCCUGGGGGAUUCCCUCUGAGCAGUGACUCACUUGGCAACAGUGGGAGCAAAAUGGGAGGAAGCUGACAAAGUUGUCUGCCCCAGGGGAAGUAAGUACUGAAGAAAAUCACCAGCCGCCCUUCUCUUACCCACUCUCUCGGCACCCGUCCGUCCUGAGGCAGUGAGAUUCUAGGAAGCUCUGAUUGAGUCUGACACAGUGGCUUUUGUUUUGUCCGUUUUGCUCCCCUCGAGACAGGUUAUAAAAGACUCUGGGGCAUUUCAGCAUUACUGCCCCCUACCGGCCGGGCACCCAGAGAUCUCGCAUCCUCGCACCCGGUCCAGGUUGGCGAUUCAAUGUAUGUUCGGAGACAUCGGUCCCAAAGCCUCGAAACUGGUCCUUACGACACCCACCGCCCUCAAGGUGGACAGUAUUGCAGCCUGGAUCCAGGCGUCUCACGUUAAGCGGCACCUCCGCAGGACAACCCAGGACCCUCCCAAUGGAAGCUUCAGCACACCCCAAAUCCUCUAAAGCUAAGACUUGUCAGAUCAGCCUGGUCCUGCCAGUUUUGCUGGCUUUUACUCUGAUGCCCCUGCCCACCUAUAGUAACCCCCAUGCACCCCAAAAACUGACUUGGCAGGUUUCCUCACAAACUGGAGAAAUCAUUUGGACCACCUCCAAACUAGUCCCUCCAGGUACGUGGUGGCCUACCCUCUCCCCUGAUUUCUGUCAAUUAGCGGCUGGAUUAGACUCCUGGGAUAUCCCAGACUCACAGCCCCAACAGUUGUCUGUAGAUGCUGGCAAAAGAUUUUCUCCUGGGGGAAAAUUUGGAUGCGGGAGUCCAGAGGCGAGAUGCUUUUUAGGAAAACUAGAUUUCUACGUCUGUCCCAAAGAUGGCCGGGGUCAGAGUACUGCUCGACGUUGUGGAGGUUUAGAAAGCCUAUACUGUGCUGCCUGGGGAUGUGAGACCACUGGAGAUGCGUAUUGGAGACCCAGUUCUUGGGACUGGAUCACUGUUCAGAAGAAUUACACGUCCCCAGAACAAUGUUCCAGUGCGAGUGCAGGAACCUGCAGCACCAGCCCCACUUGCUUACCCUUAAAUAUUACCAUUACUUCCCAGGGACGAGCAGGAGGGACUUCAGGAUGGAUACAGGGAAGGACUUGGGGCAUCCGAUGGUAUUUUCCAAAUAGAAUGAUCAAAAAGGAUUUGGGUGCUACCUUCACAAUAAAAUUAAAAAUAGAAAGUCCCCCGGGUGAGCCAGUGGGGCCCAAUCAGGUACUACCUGACCAGGGACCUCCUGCCUCCGUACCUCCUAAAGAGACCUAUAUUUCCCCAAGGCCUAUGUCUGGGGACCCUAGUCCCCUGAUAUCAACAUCUGUGCAACCAAACUCUCCCUAGUCCCAGGACAACAGGAAACAGAUACCUGGUACCCUCCUCUAUUGAUCUGUGGUGGGCCUGCAACACUGAUCUGACUCCUUGUAUCUCUACCUCUGUCUUUAAUGACGCCACUGAUUUCUGUGUGCUGAUUCAACUAGUCCCCCAAAUGUACUAUCAUAAUGCUUCCAGUUUUGAGACUGAGUUUGACCUACACCCCAGACACCGAAAAAGUGAACUGGCCACCAUCAUCUAGUUAGGUCUGGGGUUGGGGGCUGCAGAGGUGGGACUGGGAUCUACAGCUUUGGUUAGGGGAGAUCAGUACUACUCCCAAUUAAGAGCAGCUAUGGGUGAAGACUUAAGGGCCCUAGAACAGUCCAUCUCCGAGCUUGAAGAAUCGAUGACCUCGCUCUCAGAAGUGGUGUUACAAAAUAGGCACAGGUGCCAGCCUCAGGCUUUGUGCUUGGUUGAUAGGCGGUUUUGUCGGAGACAGGAUCUCUGCAACCUCUUCUGGCCUCAAACCUUCAGUGAGCUCUUGCCUCAGCAGGGGUUGUAAGGCUGUACCACUGUGCUUCAUUUGUCUGUUUUUCUUAAAAGCUCUGUGUGUGUGUGUGUGCUCGCCCAAGGAGGCCAGAAAAGGAUAUUGGUUCCCCUGUAGCUCAGCCAGCAGGGUUACACUUCUAGUGGGUAGGACUUAAUAAGUCCCCUAUGGUGUAAUCAUUUUGGAAGAGGUUCAGGUUUAAUGAGAGUCCCUGUCUCAAAACAACACCCAAGGUUGAUGAUUUGAAUGAAAUGCCCCACAUUGUCUUGGACAUUUAAAGUUUUGGUUCCCACUUGGUGGCAGUGUUUGGGGAGGUUGUGGAAUUGUGGUCCUGUUGGAGAAUGGCGCUGGGGGCAGGCAUUGGGAGGCUGCUGGGUUCCUGCUUGCAGCUCAAGUCAUGACCCCCUGGAACUAUAAAUGCAAAUAAACUUUUCUCUGUAACUUGA